rnacentral:rRNA from 1 species
UACGAAGGGGGCUAGCGUUGCUCGGAAUUACUGGGCGUAAAGGGCGCGUAGGCGGCACGGCAAGUCAGGAGUGAAAGCCCUGGGCUCAACCCGGGAACUGCUUUUGAAACUGCCGAGCUAGAGUGCGGAAGGGGCAACUGGAAUUCCCAGUGUAGCGGUGAAAUGCGUAGAUAUUGGGAAGAACACCUGAGGCGAAGGCGGGUUGCUGGGCCGACACUGACGCUGAGGCGCGAAAGCCAGGGGAGCGAACGGG